UAGGGAGACCUAAUCCACUCAGAAAUCGAAAACAAUGAAAGUUGUGAAUAGAGAAUGAGAUGGUCUAACCUAGGUCGGUCGCAGAAGUUGAAAAGGCUUUCAAACUAAUAAUUAGGUUCUUUUGGGCUAUUAGCUCAGGUGGUUAGAGCGCACCCCUGAUAAGGGUGAGGUCCCUGGUUCGAGUCCAGGAUGGCCCACCUGAAGCAAGUCAAAAGUUAAAAAACAAAAGUCAAAAGUAAUUAUUUAUUUUUGAAUUUUGAAUUUUGAAUUUUGAAUUGUAUUUGGGGGUUUAGCUCAGUUGGUAGAGCGCCCGCUUUGCAAGCAGGAUGUCAGCGGUUCGAGUCCGCUAACCUCCACCUGAAAAAAAGAAACCGGAAAAUUCAGCAACUAACAGUAGAGAUAUAUAGAAGUAUGUAUCGAUAGAGAGUUAGACUGCUGGGUGAAAACCAGCCAGAACCUUGAAAACUGCAUAGAUAAAGCGAGAAAUUAGCAAACACACAAGAUGGAAAGUGAUGAUUGUUGAGGGAUGAGUGCGGAGUAAAAUCAGUGCAAAGAACUCAGGAAUCAGAGCCGGAAGUGAAGUGUUUGGCGGAUGAAAACCAAUUGUUUGUGGUCAAGCUAAUAAGGGCUCAUGGUGGAUACCUAGGCACACAGAGGCGAAG
rnacentral:tRNA from 1 species